GUGAAUGCCCUGUUCAAGGAAUAUCCAUACCUUGCAGAUCCUGUAAGUAAUUUAGUAUUGUAUUGAUUGGAACAUAGCUUUUUAUAGAUCCCACAUGAACACAUCGAUUUUAAUUGUUUUCAAAAUCUUUUAAAUUUCAGAAAUGGUGGAGGCAGUCCUCGAGGAACAAGAUGAAGCUUUUCAGAUUGCCCUUAACAUCAAGCUGGUGCAUUUUGGAGCUUAACGAAAAAUUUGGUUCUCCAGGGAUGAAACCAGCUUAGAAACCAGAUGAGGAUGGAGAGGUCAUCCAACUUCAUUUCAAUAUACUAAAACAAGAGAUGAGGAAAGCUACUCCAGCUAUGCCGGAGAAAGAUGGAGAGAAGCUUCACUUAUAGACACAAAAGGAGGUAUAAUCCUGAGGUAUCUGUGGCACAAAUUUUUGAAGAAAUUCCAACUCUACGAUACAAAAACUUUCUAGCAAUUGAGGCUAAGUCAUUGAAUGUGGCUUCCCCAGGUGAAAUGUGGGAUAAAUUACAUGGAUCCAUCAUUCACUUGAUGAAAUUUUCAAAACCAAGGUCUAAAAACUAUCACCAGUUUCACAGCAGAUAUCUAGAAAAUUUGGACAGCACUCUGAAAGGGCAAGAAAGGAAAGAUGAUCAAGUCUCCAACUCCCACUUUGGUGAUGACGGCAAAGUCAUUUCAAAUCUUCAUCAACGGGGAGAAAGUUCUCAACAACAACAUAACAAAGUUCAGUGAAGCCUUAGAAGCGCUUUACUAUUAUUUUUCGGUAUUUGCAAUAGAGUACCCAAAAGAAAUAAAAAACGCAAUGUUUUUUUAGAAAAAAUAAUAUUUAAAGGAAGUACAAAGGUGCUGUCUACUGUAAUGUCAUGGGCCAAAAAAACUUGAACAGCUUAAAUAAAGAGGUAAGCUAUGCAGUGUUAAAAACGUGACCUGUUCUGUGUUAGUAGGGAGGCAACAACUGACGGGAAAAAUGUGUCUUUAAGAUUUUUUUUUUUUCCGAGCCGGCAAGCCUCAAAAUCAGUUAUUUGCAAAAGGCUUCAAGUAUUUCAUGUAUAUGGCCUGCCCUGCACACACUGACAUCAGAACAGUGUAAGCCAUCUUUAUAAAACAUUUAAAGCUAGGAGGAGUUAUUGUAUGGAUAUAUUGGUUUACUUUGUAUUCUGUAAAUUUUCAUGUAAUAUUUUAAGAUGUAUAUAAUAAUGAUUAGAGUCAGUAUA